GCCCGGUGACCGCGCAGGCGCGGCGCGCUCCUCCACCACAACUUGGCUUAAAACUUUAAUGAAGCUUUAAUGAAAAACUCACAGCUCGGAGACUGAGGCGUACAGGCUUCUAAACACGUUGUAAAAACAUCGUUCUUACAUUCCUACCCCCUCGCUCCCCGUGCGCAGUCUUUAACAGUACCGAAAAGCGGUGGUUGCGGCUGUUUCCGUCCGUUGGCUGCGUGCACAGGACCGCGCGUGCGGGCUUCGCACGGCAGCGAUGCGUAUGAAGUGGAAGCGAUUGCUGCAGUCUGCCCGGCAAGACGUAGCGCACGGAGGAGCGAAGCGGCGUUACAAAAAGGACUUUUCCUCCCCCCCGCAGCACGCGUCACCGCCCCCAGUUAACCGAACAAAGAAACGAGGCGAAGGAGGGCAGAAAGAGCACCGCGCGCCCUCUCCUCCUCGCUCCCCGCUCAGGACGCGGCCUCAAAGAAGGCGACGAGCCGCUCCUGCUCGCAGCCAUCCAGCAGCUCCAGCAGCAGCGGAACUUUGCUCUUCACGUUGGUGCCUCGAAACUUAAAUUUAUCUAUGAAGAGAUCCGUGAUCAUCCCUGCAAAGGUAACAUUCCCAGACUUACACGUGGCCCUGCUUUCAGUAUGAGAUAUCUCUGCUUUGUGUACCAACUCUUUGGGCUGGUUUGGGUUUUAGAGACCAGACUUGUUAAAGCGAUGCCACGUUACAGCCGUCCAGCGACCAGCUCCAUUUCCACGUGGUGAUUCCUGCCUCACGUGUACCCGUCUCUGAACUGAGAAAGGAGCUGACCUCACAGAGCAGGCGCUGUCUGUUAAAGUUGGUGACUGGCAGGGAGUCCCUGAGCUCAAAGCUGGAUGGGGAACUGCAGAAGGUUACAGAAUUUCCUUCGCUAAACAGAUCAUCUCCUAAGCUUCUCCCCUUCCACCCUAUGCGCAUUCUUCUGUUAUGUUGUAACGCUUCACCACCGGAACUUCAUCAGUCACCUAUACGUUCUUCAACGCCACUCUGAACCACAUGCCUUAAUCUUGCCCAGAACAGACAGGCGCUGUACAAACUUAACAGUUCUGAAGCCACCGAGGGGUGCCUACCUAUCCAAUCAUCUCAGCUCUACUGACUGACUUCAGAACCACUUCAGUGGCGCCCAGAGGGCACUCUCUGAGCACUGAUUUGCAGUUAGGACAAGAAGUUUAAUGGAUGGACAAACCGUAAAGCCUCUCAAGAUGCGCAGGUUGUUUCUUGUAUUCCUCAAGCAGCUGAUCUGCCUCUUCCAAAAUGCUGCGGUAUUCUGGCACCAAGAAAUCCACAUUUCCUUCUUGCACUUGUAAUUCCUCAAAGAUAUUUUACAUCGUAAAAAAAUCAAAGGCAGUUAAGUAGCUUAAGAACAUAAAAGUAAGAGGAAAUUAAGCUUGGGUUUGACAGGAAGAAGCACUUCAGAGGCAAGACAAUCCCCUUCUGAACUAGCAAGAGUUAUUUUCAAGGAACCUCAUCUUUGAGGUCUUCUAACAAAACAUCAGCUGUUGCUUGUCACUGCAUAUGCCACAUUUACAAAAUGCUGUGUAUUACAGCUGCUAGCUCUCAGUACUGCUGAACGGGAUCACUCAGCCCUUACACAAUGAAGCCUAAUGAAGGCUCAAAGCCUCCACCACACCUCGGUUUUAGAAUAAGUAAAUUCCUAGAAAGCAUAAUACAUUAACAGUCUGAACAUAAAAGGGAAUUCUAGAGGCAUCGCUGAACUUACGACAGCAAAAUGUUUUACACACUCCUAAAACGCUCCCGUCAAUCAUCUGUUCACUGUGCUCACUGCCAGUUCUUCUGCUGACGAAAGAGGUCCCAAACUAGCAUUGGAUCCCACCAAAGGGCAAGAAGGAAUUGCUUGUCCAUUUUCAUCCCCCCUCCUCCCUCCAGAAAACACACCAGAAGAUUACAGCAGGUUUUGGAUUAUAAAAUCCUGCCUGUUGGAGAGAUCCAAGAACUCAGACAAGCUGCCAAAGUGACAUCUCUCAGAGAUUAACCAUUGAGGAGAAUAUUAGGCAGAGAUUAAUUAUGAACAGAGAAGCUUCAGAAACGAUGGCACGCUGGGAUGACAGUCCAAAGCAAGGAAGUCUUAUCUGGCAUGGACAGUGAUAUCUAGAGCUAAAAAACUUUUAAAGGUUAGUGCAGGGAGCUGAAGAUGGAACUGGAAAAUAACAGUAGGCAAAAAGAACGUUAGAUGACAAAGCUGGCUGCCUUAUACUGUUUGACUUAGGCAUCCUCAACAUCAAUCAGUAAUCCCACGUUAUUCAAUAAUGACACAGCACCAAUAGGAAUUUACUUCAAGAAGGCUGUCUCCUAGUAAUUGAAGUACACGUCCUGGGGACAGAAACACACAUACCGGUAUGACACGCCUCUGACUUGAGCCACAACAGGUUGUUAUCUGACAAGACAAUCCCUGUCAAAAUCCUUCCAUGGGAGCUCAGGUACUUACUCUCAAAGCAUCUAUUAAAUGAACCUUCUUGGCCAACAGCUGCUGAUACUCUAAUUUGGGGUGGAUGAGCUUUAAUGUAUGCCUCACAGAUUCUUCAUUUAUAUCUAGUAGCAGAAAACAAAAAACAGACGAACAAAAAACAAACAAACAAAAAACCCCCACACCCCAACAAACGAAUGAGCAAUACAUCAAUACAUAUUCCAUUGAUGAGAAUAUAAAAUGAUGCAAAGAACAAUAAAAUAGAAGAAGUUUUACCAAAUGAUAUGUUGAGAUUAAUCUUCCUUUUAGUAGCCUCUUUGGAAAGCACAUCUUUUAGGAUGGAUAUUGUAGAAAUAUUGUCAGACUUGAAACAUCCCUCACCUAUUCUAUAAAGGGAAAAAAACUUCAUGUUGAACAAACUUACAAGCAUGUGCAAGCAUUAGAUGUGUCUGUUUUAAGAUAUAAGACCUACAAAUUAACACCUUUGCUGAAGGAAGAUAGAAGUAAUUAAGUCGUAAACAGAGUACUGAUGUUAAACACAUUUAAUCUAAGUUGCAGCAGUGGGUUUUCAGCAAAAUGCUUAUUCACAUUUUGUCUGCAUGAAUGUUAAACGCCUUUCAAGUUGUUUCCACUCCUCAGUACAAAAAAAAAAAACAACCAACCAACCAAACAUAAGGAAAGUAGAAACUACUGAACAAUGAGCAUAUCACAAAAUAACUUGACUGUAUUAUUUAUCUUCUUCAAAUUCUAGAAACAAAUUGGAGAGGAACAGUAGAAUGUGAAUGAAAUGAUACUAACAGGGUGGUCAAGAAUGAAAAAGACAAAAAUCAAAACACAGCCACAUAGUGCGUAUUUUACCUUGUCCUGAACUGCUGUGCAGGUGGCUUACAACAACUUUAAUGUAAGAUGUGCAACUCUGUCUUUCAGACAUGCAUGAAGUAUAUUCAUGACUGAAGCGUUUCCCUAUUUUAACAAGGGGAUUACAAUGCUCAUUCACGAAACCAAGGAUCAAGUUACAGAUUUAUUAAUGAUUCCUUUACUUAAAUGUAUGCUUCUGACAUACAUUUCUUAUAUAGAUGUGUAGAUUCUUAUAUAGAUGCUACUUCGUAUAUAGAUGUGUUUUCUGUGUAAUUAAAUCUAAGAUUGUUAUGAAAACCAAAUUAAAGGACUCCUAAUGAUUAAUUACUUGAUUUGGCACUGCUUUUAACUUCACAGCAGUGCAAGGAAACAUUGAUAAAAACUAAGCGUGCUUCCUAAAAUCAAAA